rnacentral:rRNA from 1 species
CCUANGGGGGGCAGCAGUAAGGAAUAUUGGUCAAUGGACGAAAGUCUGAACCAGCCAUGCCGCGUGAAGGAUUAAGGCCCUCUGGGUUGUAAACUUCUUUUAUCUGGGACGAAAAAAGGGUAUUCUUACUCACUUGACGGUACCAGAGGAAUAAGCACCGGCUAACUCCGUGCCAGCAGCCGCGGUAAUACGGAGGGGUGCAAGCGUUAUCCGGAUUUAUUGGGUUUAAAGGGUGCGCAGGCGGAUAAAUAAGUCAGUGGUGAAAUCCUACGGCUCAACUGUAGAACUGCCAUUGAUACUGUUUAUCUUGAGUAUAGUUGGAGUGGGCGGAAUGUGUCAUGUAGCGGUGAAAUGCUUAGAUAUGACACAGAACACCGAUCGCGAAGGCAGCUCACUAAGCUAUAACUGACGCUCAGGCACGAAAGCGUGGGGAUCAAACAGGAUUAGAUACCCCANUANUC